CCCUUCCCCUCUAUUUCCCCCCCCAUUCCCCUCUAUUUGUCCCCCCCUUCCCCUCUAUUUGUCUCCCCCUUCCCCUCUUUGUCUCCCUCUUCCCCUCUAUUUGUCCCCCCCAUUCCCCUCUUUGUCUCCCUCCUUCCCCUGUAUUUGUCCCCCCAUUCCCCUCUUUGUCUCCCUCCUUCCCCUCUAUUUGUCUCCCCCCCUUUCCCUCUAUUUGUCCCCCCAUUCCCCUUUAUUUGUCUCCCCAUUCCCUCU